AGCGAACGCUGGCGGCAGGCCUAACACAUGCAAGUCGAACGAAGUCUUCGGACUUAGUGGCGGACGGGUGAGUAACACGUGGGAACGUGCCUUUAGGUUCGGAAUAACUCAGGGAAACUUGUGCUAAUACCGAAUGUGCCCUUCGGGGGAAAGAUUUAUCGCCUUUAGAGCGGCCCGCGUCUGAUUAGCUAGUUGGUGAGGUAAAGGCUCACCAAGGCUACGAUCAGUAGCUGGUCUGAGAGGAUGACCAGCAACAUUGGGACUGAGACACGGCCAAAAUUCCUACGGGAGGCAGCAGUGGGGAAUCUUGCGCAAUGGGCGAAAGCCUGACGCAGCCAUGCCGCGUGGAUGAUGAAGGUCUUAGGAUUGUAAAAUCCUUUCACCGGUGAAGAUAAUGACUGUAGCCGGAGAAGAAGCCCCGGCUAACUUCGUGCCAGCAGCCGCAGUAAAAC
rnacentral:rRNA from 1 species